GUGCUAACACAUGCAAGUCGAACGAUGAUAGAGAGCUUGCUUUUCUUGAUUAGUGGCGCACGGGUGAGUAAUGCAUAGAUAAUGUGCCCUUAGUUCGGGAUAGCCACUGGAAACGGUGAUUAAUACCGGAUACUCCUUCUUGUUAUAAGACAAGUCGGGAAAGUUUUUCGCUAAGGGAUCAGUCUAUGUUCCAUCAGCUUGUUGGUGAGGUAAUGGCUCACCAAGGCUAUGACGGAUAUCUGGUUUGAGAGGAUGAUCAGACACACUGGAACUGAGACACGGUCCAGGCUCCUACGGGAGGCAGCAGUGAGGAAUAUUGCACAAUGGAGGAAACUCUGAUGCAGCAACGCCGCGUGGAGGAUGACGCAUUUCGGUGUGUAAACUCCUUUUAUUAGGGAAGAUAAUGACGGUACCUAAUGAAUAAGCACCGGCUAACUCCGUGCCAGCAGCCGCGGUAAUACGGAGGGUGCAAGCGUUACUCGGAAUCACUGGGCGUAAAGGGUGCGUAGGCUGGCUUUUAAGUCAGAUGUGAAAUCCAACGGCUCAACCGUUGAACUGCUCUCGAAACUGGUUACCUAGAAUAUGGGAGAGGUAGAUGGAAUUAGUGGUGUAGGGGUAAAAUCCGUAGAUAUCACUAGGAAUACCGAUUGCGAAGGCGAUCUACUGGAACAUUAUGACGC
rnacentral:rRNA from 1 species